AUACGGAGGAUGCGAGCGUUAUCCGGAUUUAUUGGGUUUAAAGGGAGCGUAGGUGGGAUAUUAAGUCAGCUGUGAAAGUUUGGGGCUCAACCUUAAAAUUGCAGUUGAUACUGGUUUCCUUGAGUACGGUACAGGUGGGCGGAAUUCGUGGUGUAGCGGUGCAAUGCUUAGAUAUCACGAAGAACUCCGAUCGCGAAGGCAGCUCACCGGGCCGGAACUGACACUGAUGCUCGAAAGUGCGGGUAUCAAACAGGAUUAGAUACCCUGGUAGUCCGCACAGUAAACGAUGAAUACUCGCUGUUUGCGAUACACUGUAAGCGGCCAAGCGAAAGCGUUAAGUAUUCCACCUGGGGAGUACGCCGGCAACGGUGAAACUCAAAUGAAUUGACGGGG
rnacentral:rRNA from 1 species